GACGAACGCUGGCGGCGUGCUUAACACAUGCAAGUCGAACGGAAAGGCCCUGCUUUUGUGGGGUGCUCGAGUGGCGAACGGGUGAGUAACACGCGAGUAACCUGCCCUUGACUUUGGGAUAACUUCAGGAAACUGGGGCUAAUACCGGAUAGGAGCUCCUGCUGCAUGGUGGGGGUUGGAAAGUUUCGGCGGUUGGGGAUGGACUCGCGGCUUAUCAGCUUGUUGGUGGGGUAGUGGCUUACCAAGGCUUUGACGGGUAGCCGGCCUGAGAGGGUGACCGGCAACAUUGGGACUGAGAUACGGUCCAGAGUCGUACGGGAGGCAGCGGUGGGGAAUAUUGCACAAUGGGCGGAAGCCAGAUGCAGCAACGCCGCGUGCGGGAUGACGGCCUUCGGGUUGUAAACCGCUUUCGCCUGUGACGAAGCGUGAGUGACGGUAAUGGGUAAAGAAGCACCGGCUAACUACGUG
rnacentral:rRNA from 1 species